GAUGAACGCUGGCGGCGUGCCUAAUACAUGCAAGUCGAGCGAACAGACGAGGAGCUUGCUCCUCUGACGUUAGCGGCGGACGGGUGAGUAACACGUGGAUAACCUACCUAUAAGACUGGGAUAACUUCGGGAAACCGGAGCUAAUACCGGAUAAUAUAUUGAACCGCAUGGUUCAAUAGUGAAAGACGGUUUUGCUGUCACUUAUAGAUGGAUCCGCGCCGCAUUAGCUAGUUGGUAAGGUAACGGCUUACCAAGGCAACGAUGCGUAGCCGACCUGAGAGGUUGAUCGGCCACACUGGAACUGAGCCACGGUCCAGACUCCUACGGGAGGCAGCAGUAGGGAAUCUUCCGCAAUGGGCGAAAGCCUGACGGAGCAACGCCGCGUGAGUGAUGAAGGUCUUCGGAUCGUAAAACUCUGUUAUUAGGGAAGAACAAAUGUGUAAGUAACUAUGCACGUCUUGACGGUACCUAAUCAGAAAGCCACGGCUAACUACGUG
rnacentral:rRNA from 1 species